rnacentral:tRNA from 2 species
GGUCGCUUAGCUCAGUUGGUUAGAGCGUGGUGCUAAUACAUUGUAUGAUACGCCAAGGUCGCGAGUUCGACCCUCGUAGUGACCA